AUGACGUUCCCUACUCAGCUCCUGGGGAUAUUAAUGAUUUGGAUCCCUGCAUCCAGUGGGGAUAUUGUGAUGACACAGACUCCACUCACCCUGCCCAUCAGGCUUGGAGAGCCGGCCACUAUCUCCUGCAAGUCAAGUCAGAGCCUCGUACAUACUGAUGGAAAAACCUAUUUGCACUGGUACCAGCAGAAACCCGGCCAAGCUCCACGGCUCCUGAUCUAUAAGAUUUCUAACCAGUUCACUGGGGUCCCCGAGAGGUUCAGUGGCAGUGGGUCAGUUACAGAUUUCACUCUUAAAAUCAGCAGGGUGGAGACUGAAGAUGUUGCAACUUAUUACUGUCAUCAGGGUACACAGUUGCCUCCCACAGUGGUGCAGCCCUGCACAAAAACCUGUGCUUGGAGUGGCCCAGCUGCCCAAAUGUGUGAUUUAUCUGAGAGCAGGCACAGCACAUUCUCUGAAUCUGUUGAAGAGGAAGAUGUUGAAGAACUCAAUUGUGACUGA